rnacentral:rRNA from 1 species
GACGAACGCUGGCGGCGUGCCUAAUACAUGCAAGUAGAACGCUGAAGGAGGAGCUUGCUUCUCUGGAUGAGUUGCGAACGGGUGAGUAACGCGUAGGUAACCUGCCUGGUAGCGGGGGAUAACUAUUGGAAACGAUAGCUAAUACCGCAUAAUAGUAGAUGUUGCAUGAUAUUUGCUUAAAAGGUGCAAUUGCAUCACUACCAGAUGGACCUGCGUUGUAUUAGCUAGUUGGUGGGGUAACGGCUCACCAAGGCGACGAUACAUAGCCGACCUGAGAGGGUGAUCGGCCACACUGGGAAUGAGACACGGCCCAGACUCCUACGGGAGGCAGCAGUAGGGAAUCUUCGGCAAUAGACGGAAGUCUGACCGAGCAACGCCGCGUGAGUGAAGAAGGUUUUCGGAUCGUAAAGCUCUGUUGUAAGAGAAGAACGAGUGUGAGAGUGGAAAGUUCACACUGUGACGGUAUCUUACCAGAAGGGGGCGGCUAAGUACGUG